UACGGAGGGUGCAAGCGUUGCUCGGAAUUAUUGGGCGUAAAGGGUAGGUAGGUGGUCUCAUUUGUCUGGGGUGAAAGCCUUGAGCUUAACUCAAGAAGUGCCCCAGAAACGGUGAGACUGGAGUCCUGGAGAGGGUCGUGGAAUUCCCGGUGUAGCGGUGAAAUGCGUAGAGAUCGGGAGGAACACCAGAGGCGAAAGCGGCUCUCUGGAACGGUACUGACGCUGAGACGCGAAAGCGUGGGGAGCGAACAGG
rnacentral:rRNA from 1 species